GGAAUAAUUGUGUGUUUAAUACCCUGUAGUAUAUGCAAUGACUGACCAACAGAAUCCUGCUGUUGGACAGGGAACUCUGUCCAGUAUUCUGUGAUACUCUCUAUGGGAAAAGAAUCUGAGAAAGAAUGGAUGUGUAUGUAUGUACAACUGAAUCACUUUAUUCUACAACAGAAAUUAUCACAACAUUUUAAAUCAACUAUGCUUCAGUAAAACUUUAAAAAAUGAGGGAAAAAAAUGAUGUUUUGGCACUUUAAAUGCUAAAUGCAGCUGAAAGCAGGACAAACAAAACUGAAAAGAAAGACCAGAGACAAUGCACAUGAAAAGGAAAGAUAGUUGUUCAAGAAACCAGUUUAGUGGAGAUAGGAGGACAAACUCAGAAGUGCUGUCUGGGUAGAACAACUUCACAUGAAUCAAGUGUUAAAUGUGCUCUGGCUGCACACAGAAGUGGUUCCAGACACUCUGGGAAGUUGAUUUUUAAUAUUUACAGGGUAGAUUAUUUAUUCCAGUUCCAACCAUAAGGUUUAGAAUUAAUCUUCAUCUCAAUUCACUUUCUAACUAACUGCAUCAUGCUGCUGCUUUAAAGAUGAGCUACCAUUUUUUCCUGUUUCAUAUUUGUAAGCUUUUAUCAAGCAUAUUUAGGAAUCAGCCAUUUUAAGCGAUUGCUUUAUUUAUACUAAAUAAGCUGGAUGAUGUUAAUCAAAAGCAUUGGCUUUAGUGUCAAAUUUAUAUGAAUUCUGUAUGGAAUGUGUGAUCUUGGGGAAAAUGCAGAAUGCUUUCUUGGUUUGUUACUUGUCUUAUUUCUUUGUUUUUUUGUUUUGUUUUGUUUUAUUUUGUUUUGGGGUUUCUUUUUUGCUUUUUAGGGUUACAUCCACACUAUUUGGAGAUUACCUGGCUAGGGGUCGAAUUGGAGCUAUAGCUGCUGGUCUAGGCCACAGCCACAGCAAUACAAGACCCUGUGUUGUGACCUACACCAUAGUUUGGUUGCAAUGCCAGAUCCUUUAACCCACUGAGUGAAGCCAGGAAUCGAACCCGUGACCUCAUAGAUACUAUCAGGUUUGUUAUCACUGAGCCACAACGGGAACUCCCCAUUUGUUUGUUUGUUUAAAGGAUACAGUGUUUACCCUGUGGUGUUUUUGUGAAGAUUACAUAAAUAUUGUCAAUUAUUUAAUGCAAUAUCUCAUCCAUAGAAGGCACUCAGUAAAUAGUAGCUGGUGUUAUUUGAAAAACCUAUGUCCCUAGAGAGUUUCUGAACCGUAAAGGGAGCAUGUAAGAUAGAUGAGUGAAAAUUAUCAGGUGGUUUUGAGCCCGGAUGAUGAUGUGAAUGAUUGAACCCAGGGGUGUUUGGAGAGUUGUGCCAGAUGCAUGGAAGAAUUAAGAGAAAAUGCCAUGGCCUAAAAGAGAUGGCUUUUAAUGUGGAUAGUGGAUGUGGGAAUAAUUAAUUAUUUUUUUAUAAUAGUGGGCCUGAUGCAGUACACUGAACCCCUCUCGGAUGUCCCAACAGACUAUUCAGUGUGAAAUGUCAGAUACAGUAUUUAGUGAGCAGAAAAUACUAAGCAGUGUAGAGAGGUUAUAAUUUGAUAAACAGAAGUGAUACAACUUCACUACCACAAAAAUUAAAGAAUGCACAUUUGACAGAAUAUGUAUGAAUUUAGCUAGUAAGUAUAUAAGGAUCUUAAGUUGUAACUAUUAGACAGUUCUACUCAAACAGUAACAUGAUGCUUUAGGCCAAAAAAGGGAAACAUGACAAUUAUAAAUGCUUUUAUUGGACAUUGUGACAUUUUUAGACUACAGUGGAGAUUUUGUUGUAAUUAUUACUAGAUUGCUUAGCAUGAUGUAUAGUAUUUUUAAGUUGUAAAAAUAUGUCACCAAAAAUUCUAGUUUUUGAAAGCACCAUGAGGCAAACAGAAGGAUGCCCACAUUUAUUUUCUUAUGUGUCUUGGUAAUAGAAGAAAUUUCAUAACUUUUUACUGUUUUGGUGAGGUAUUUCACGACAAGAAAACUACAGAUGCAUACCAUUUAUAUUUGUAUUUUUUUGUAAUUCCUCCUUUCAAAAACACACAAGGAUAUAAAAUAUAUACUACUUGUAGAAAAUAUUUGAAAAUCACUAAAGAACCUAGAGAAGCUUAAGAUCAAAAUUUUUUAUACUGAUUUUUAUUUUUUCCAUUAUAGAUGGUUUACAGUGUUCUGUCAAUUUUCUACUGUACAGCAAUGUGACCCAGUCACACAUACAGGUAUACAUUCUUUUUUCUUGCAUUAUCAUGCUCCAUCGUAAGUAAGUAGAUACAGUUCCCAAUGCUAUACAGCAGGGAUGGAUUGGGAAUUUGGGGUUAAUAGAAGAUCAGACAUUGAAAUGUUGACUAGAAGUGGCUAACAAAAAGUUUAGGCAGUUGCUGUCUACUCAAGGUAAGUUUUUAGUUUUAUCUUAUUUGUCUAUCAAUUAAUACCUAUUUGUGUUUAGAUCAUUGUGACUUUUGAGGGAGCUCAAUUAUUGAAAUAACACUAUUGCUUUUGGAAUGGAUUAGCAAUGAGAUCCUGCUCUGUAGUACUGAGAACUAUGUCUAGUCACUUAUGAUGGAGCAUGAUAAUGGGAGAAAAAAGAAUGUAUACAUAUAUGUGUAACUGGGUCUCCAUACUGUACAGUAGAAAAAAAAUUGUUGUGGGGAAAUAACAAUAAUUUUUUUAAUUUGAUUCACUUUUGUGGUAUGUCAUAAUACACUUUGAUUUUAACAGAUGGAAAAUAAACUAUAAUUUAUCAAGAAUGACAUUUUUUAGUUAAAUUUAUUAUGUGAUAAACUUGGGUGGUCUAAUAGAUGUAAAAAUCACAGAUUCACAAAUUUUAACUAAAAUAUUAUUAAUAGAAAGAAACAAAACAUGGUAUUAGAGGAUCUUUGAUGUAUUUACACAGUCUGAUUAAAGCAGAUAAUUAAAAGUAAAUGUAAAGAUGACUAUAAUAAUUACUUGAUUGGUAGAUUUGCCACUGAUUUAAUUAAAUUUUUAUGACUCUAUUAGUUAUAAGAAUUAGAUAAUAAAUUACUAGUAUUUUUUAAUUGAAUGACCACUAAAAGAGGGAAAAAAGUGAAAUUUAGGGUAAAAGUAUGAUUAUGAAUUAGAACAGCUAGUUAAAAUUACGAGAGUUUCAAAUUUCAAUAAAGGCUGAGAAAAGUAGAGUUCCCACUGUGGCUCAGUGCUAACAAACUUGACUAGUAUCCAUGAGGAUGGGGGUUCGAUCCCUGGCCCCACUCAUAGGUUAAGGAUCUGGGGUUGCCAUAAGCUGUGGUAUAGAUCACAGAUGUGGCUAGGACCUAGCAUUGCUGUGGCUGUGACAUAGACUGGCAGCUGCAUCUCCAAUGUGAUCCCUAGCUUGGGAACUUCCAUAUGCUGAGGUACGGCCCUAAAAAAAAAAGUGUUUAGUGCACAAAACAGAUAGAUAGUAACCUGAACAAACAGAAUGUAUUUAAAUGCACAAAUUAUUUGGAAAGUGAGAAUCAAAGGAACCAGUUUGACCAAUUCUGAAACUAUAGACAAUGCUAUAUUAAAAUCGCCAAACAUUGACCCCAGAAAUGUCAUUACUUAAUAUAAAGGUGUCUUAUUGCAUGAGAUGCCAAGUCAUGUGACAAAAUUUAUGAGACCUGAUUAAAUAUAACAACC
rnacentral:lncRNA from 1 species